GAUUAUUUUUCAAAGAAGGUCUGAAAGCCCAAUGUUAUUAUACAGCUGCUAAGAAAAGCUUCACGUUAAAUAUUUAUCAGCUUUUUUUUUUUUUUUAAGAGGCACCGCCGGACUAGCUAGUGUAUCGGAUGUGUUCGUAGUGAUAAAAGUGUCGCCUGCGUCUCCAAGUAUCCCUCCGCUUCUCGUGAAGAGGUCUGAAAGAGGCAAUCGGCAGCGCCAUUUUGGUGUGGGUUUAUUUUGCGCAGGGAUAGAAAAUAAGCUGCUUGAACAAAUUGCCAGUUUUUGUAAAGUUGACCGCAUUGCAGCUAGGUGUUGCAGAGUGUAAUCGGCAGUUUAGUGCUUGUUUUUACGAGGACACAGGAAGCAUGUCUGGCGGUGGAGUUAUUCGAGGCCCAGCUGGCAAUAAUGAUUGUCGCAUCUACGUGGGGAACCUUCCUCCAGAUAUUCGCACCAAGGACAUCGAAGACGUUUUUUACAAGUAUGGUGCUAUCCGCGACAUCGAUUUGAAGAACAGGCGAGGGGGCCCGCCUUUCGCAUUCGUUGAGUUUGAAGAUCCCAGGGAUGCGGAGGAUGCAGUGUAUGGACGCGACGGGUAUGACUAUGAUGGCUACAGACUACGAGUUGAAUUUCCCAGAAGUGGAAGGGGUACUGGCCGAGGAGGCGGUGGUGGCGGUGGGGGAGCCCCACGUGGAAGAUAUGGUCCCCCAUCUAGGCGCUCGGAGUACCGAGUCAUAGUUUCAGGGCUUCCUCCCAGUGGUAGUUGGCAGGAUCUCAAGGAUCACAUGCGUGAAGCAGGUGAUGUAUGUUAUGCAGACGUUUUCCGAGAUGGGACUGGUGUGGUGGAGUUUGUUCGCAAAGAAGAUAUGACCUAUGCAGUGCGAAAGCUGGAUAACACUAAAUUCCGAUCUCACGAGGGGGAGACUGCCUACAUCCGUGUGAAAGUUGAUGGCCCCCGGAGCCCCAGCUAUGGAAGAUCUCGUUCACGAAGCCGAAGCCGCAGCAGGAGUCGCAGCAGAAGCAACAGUCGCAGUCGCAGCUAUUCUCCUCGACGUAGCAGAGGAUCGCCACGUUACUCUCCCCGUCACAGCCGAUCCCGUUCUCGUACUUAGGGGGUUGGGGAAUGAUUACAGCCUGUUGCUUUACUGGUGAUUCUUCUGUUACAUAUCUGAAGAAGGAUUAAAGAAUACUUUGGAAUAAAGGAUUGUGAAGCACAAUUCAUUCAUAUUAGGAUUAUCAAAGCGUGUCUGUUUGGAGGAGGAUUUGAGGAGGCGCAGUCAGAUCAAUAAUGGAGGCAAUGGUAUGACACCAAGCGCUUCAGUCACCUUUAAAACUUAGCAGUAUUGAAUAUGAAUAGAUUCCCUGAUUUGCAUUAUCAUAUUGGAGAACAUAGUAUUUUGAGUGCCUGUGAAGUUCCUCUUAUUUCCUCCCCAUCUCCUAACUGCUUUGCUAAGUAAUUAGUUACCUGUAACUUCAUUUAUCAAUACUGCUAAGCUCGCAUGUCCUCUGUCUGACUGGAUGUAGCAUUGCUUGUGCACCAUAUUGAAAAGUGUUUCUGUGUAUUUUUUUUUUUUUUUUUUUUUUUUAUUGACUUAAUAUGUAACCUGCAUUUGAGAGAGAGAGCGAGAGAGAGCCUGGUUUGCAGAAGGCCUAACCAGUCUAAACUGACUACCUUGGAGGGACAUCCCUGGCCCCCCCAAAGUCAAGAAAGGAAUCAAAAUGUCCUACAGGAAGUUUUAAAGUGUGUGGUGAUGGAUGAAGGGCAGAAAGAUUGACAUGCUGUAACAUUUUAAAUGUCACAACUUGCCAUUACUGUACUGCAGUUAUGUGAUUUGUUAAAAUGUAAAUUACUAUUCCAUACAUUUUUAUAGAAGCCUUUUUUCCUUCUCUAGAGAACUUUUUACAGAAAGAUCUCCCAGAUCUGUCUUUUUAGCAUUUACGUAUGAUGUGCUGUGCCAUUCACUUGCUUUGGGAGCUGAUCAUUGUCUGGCAUCAUGGAUUUUGUAAAGUUGACUUAAACUGAUAACCAGUCAUGAUCUCCUCCUAUAAUUUUUUUUAAAGAGCUGUUUUAUUCUGGUGCACAUUCUAACUUGUUGCCUCCUUCUUUUUGGUUUUGCUGGUAUUUAAAGGUUUGGAUUGAAGGGGCUCACUGGAUCCCAAUCCUUGGAGCCGGAUCAUUGGAUCAUUUCAUAAUCAGGAUAGGAUAGGGAAGGAUGGAUUCAUGGAGCGGGAUCAAUUUACCGGGAACCGUAGGAGAGGAUUCCCCCCAACCAAACCUCAUUCUCAUGGAAUUUUCAUAAUUUUCUUUCAAUUGGCUUUUUUUAAUAAUGAAAAUAAAUUCCCCAUUCCCUGAACUUUUUCUUUUAUUUGGAGCCCCAAAGAGGUCGGUCGUGGAUUUGGCCCGUGAUUUUUAUUUUUUAUAUAUAUUUUUGGUUCUUUUAUUAAAAUAUAAAGAGGAUCAGCGAGGACCAGGAGGCUGGAGCAAUCUUUGGAUGGAUUCAGCAAAUGGAAUUUGGUAAUUGUAAAAAAAAAAAAAUAUUGCAGGGGUGUGGGAAGUGGGCUGGUGGGUGGGUGGCUGGGUUGGGUUCGUUAAUUGGUGCUUUAGGAUUACCCCAAUUGGCAUUCAUUGAGAGUGGUAAGGGGAGAUUUGUCUUAUCCCAAAUUGACUUCACCAAAUUUGUUAGGAUCCAGUAUUAAUGGUUUUUAAUUUUUCACAAUAAAUCUUAUGAAAAGA